rnacentral:rRNA from 1 species
GACGAACGCUGGCGGCGUGCUUAACACAUGCAAGUCGAACGGUAAGGCCCUUCGGGGUACACGAGUGGCGAACGGGUGAGUAACACGUGGGUAAUCUGCCCUGCACAUCGGGAUAAGCCUGGGAAACUGGGUCUAAUACCGAAUAGGACCACAGGACACAUGUCCUGUGGUGGAAAGCUUUUGCGGUGUGGGAUGGGCCCGCGGCCUAUCAGCUUGUUGGUGGGGUGAUGGCCUACCAAGGCGACGACGGGUAGCCGGCCUGAGAGGGUGUCCGGCCACACUGGGACUGAGAUACGGCCCAGACUCCUACGGGAGGCAGCAGUGGGGAAUAUUGCACAAUGGGCGAAAGCCUGAUGCAGCGACGCCGCGUGGGGGAAGACGGCCUUCGGGUUGUAAACCUCUUUCACCAUCGACGAAGGUCCGGGUUUUCUCGGGCUGACGGUAGGUGGAGAAGAAGCACCGGCCAACUACGUG